rnacentral:ncRNA from 2 species
AAAUAUUUUAUAUAGAAUGGUGCUUUAACAAUUUGUUAAAGAGAAUAGGGAAUCAGGUUAAAAUCCUGAACGGGCCCGCCACUGUGACUGAUAUUAAAGUCUAGUAUGAUACCACCUUACUCAGAAUAGGGAAGGUUAUAGAUCUUUAAGUUUUAACUCAGGAGUCAGGAGACCUGCCAUUUAUAUAUAAUCUAC